UACGUAGGGGGCUAGCGUUGUCCGGAUUUAUUGGGCGUAAAGAGCGUGUAGGCGGCCAGGUAGGUCUGCUGUGAAAACUCGAGGCUUAACCUCGAGAUGUCGGCGGAAACCAUCUGGCUAGAGUCCGGAAGAGGAGAGUGGAAUUCCUGGUGUAGCGGUGAAAUGCGCAGAUAUCAGGAAGAACACCCGUGGCGAAAGCGGCUCUCUGGAACGGUACUGACGCUGAGACGCGAAAGCGUGGGAGAAGCGGA
rnacentral:rRNA from 1 species